UUCAGCUUUCUGUGGAGACUUCAGUCCAUCUUGCAUUCUUCGUCCCACUCUCAUAAAGUUAAUCAUUUACUUGGAGUUGCCUCUGCAUCUGGGACUCUCAGGAGACAGCAAGGAUAUGUUCUGCUUGGAGAAGAGUGAGCCUCAUGCCAGUCACAAAAGACUGCAUUGACCAAAGGCAUUGAAGCUCAAGUUGAGAACACAGAAUGACAAAGCCAUGGGUGAAGACCUUUGUUCUGCCUGACAAAAGAGAAGUGUAAAAAUCGGACAUCUACAAUCCCCCGAGAUGCACCCUCCUUCUAUCUUCUCUCUGCAGCCUCUGCAAAUUCUGCUCUUUUCUCUUCCUGAGGCCAUCGCUUUCCACUGAUUUUUAGCUGGAUAGGAGAAGAGGAAGGGAUCGCUGUUGUGUUUCGGUUGGCAGCUCCCUGUGAGGGUCACGGUGAGCAGCGCUGUGGAGGAGCCGCCCGCAGUCAGAGCCAAGUCUGCUCAGCCGCGGCCCCUCCCCGCGCGUCAGAGCGCGGGAUGACGCAAGCAGGGACGCCCUUUUCAGUUUUUUCUUUAUGAUACUGGGGAUUGAACACAAGUCCUUUGCACUGAACUACAUCCCUAGACCUUUUAUUUAUUUAUUUAUUUUUGAGAUAGGAUCUCAU
ensembl:lncRNA